AAUAUUGGACAAUGGGGGCAACCCUGACCCAGCCAUGCCGCGUGGGUGAAGAAGGACUUCGGUUUGUAAAGCACUUUAAGCUGGGAGGAAGGGCUUGAGGUUAAUACCCUGAAGGUUUUACGUUACCAACAGAAGAAGCACCGGCUAACUCUGUGCCAGCAGCCGCGGUAAUACAGAGGGUGCAAGCGUUAUUCGGAAUUACUGGGCGUAAAGCGCGCGUAGGUGGUUCAGUAAGAUGGAAGUGAAAUCCCCGGGCUUAACCUGGGAACUGCUUUCAUAACUGCUGAGCUAGAGUACGGUAGAGGGUAGUGGAAUUUCCUGUGUAGCGGUGAAAUGCGUAGAUAUAGGAAGGAACACCAGUGGCGAAGGCGACUACCUGGACUGAUACUGACACUGAGGUGCGAAAGCGUGGGGAGCAAACA
rnacentral:rRNA from 1 species